UGUAAAGUAUACUAAUACCAACAAAAAUAUUGGGAAGUGGCUGGUUUUCAGGGGUUGGCCCUUACUGCCAAUGAAGGGAAAUCUUAAUGCUUCAGCAUACCAAGACAUUUUGGAUAAUGCUAUGGUUCCAACUGUUUGGGGAAGGCCCUUUUCUGUUUCAGCAUGACUGCCCAACUGCACAAAGCAAGAGCCUGGCCCUCAACCCCACUGAAGACCUUUGGGAUGAGCUGCAAUGGAGACUGCAAGCAAGGCCUUUUCAUCCAAUAUCCAUUCUUGACUUAUUGCUCUACUGCAUGAAUGGGCAAAAAAUCUUGUGGAAAGCCUGUCUAGAAGAGUGGAAGCUGUUGUAGCUGCAAAGCUGUCUAUGUAUUUAGAAUUCAAUGCCAUUAAGGUCCUUGUUGGUAUAAUAGUCAGGAGGCCCAAUUGUUCUGUCUAUAUAGUGUAGUUUUCAGAGAAGCCUUUCAAGACAACACAGUAAGAAAUGAAAUGAAACAAAGAGAGACCUGAUCCAAAACUGAACCAAGGAUACAACCACUUGUCCUUUAUCUUGCAUAAUUCAACAAGAUAUACACAGAUCUGAGAAAUGCAGCAAUAAAACAGGAGAUGAUCAGAACUAAAUAGACUUAAUUAUUCUGACUAGGUUUGCCUAUGUGUGGGAACAGAUUUUGGACAAUAAAUAGACUGGAAAAGUACACUAAAGCAGAUGUCUGACUGCUAUUUAAAGAAGAGCUUUUCAGUGGAGUAUUCCUUUCAGCAUUUA